CCGAACCGUUAACAAGAGUUGUCGCUGGUCCCUGUAUGGGGGCAUGUGCACGCUCUGUUUACACAUCCACUCACACCUGUGCACCCUCUGUAGUUCUGUGGCCUUUGGGGGCUCUGCCCUCCUGCUGCGGUUCUACGUCUUUAUUCACACACACUGUAAUGAAGUUCCGUGGAAUGCAUGUCGCGUUUAAUGCAUUGAAAUA
rnacentral:misc_RNA from 1 species